GUUGAACGGACUCACCAGGAAACGUGACUUUCGUGUCCGACCUCUGCUGUAUCAGGAUUCGAUUCUUGGUGUUAAACAAGACAACGCUGAAGGCUCGGUGCAGCAGCCCUGCAAAGCUUUGUGUCUUAGGUUUCAGCGUGCUGACGUUCUCUGGGCCCUGAAGUCACUGCUGCUGGCUGGUGUGCUGGCCACUUGGUCGUGCUGGCCUGUCUCCCACCGGGUGGAUGCCCAGCGAGCUCUGGAUGCUGUGUUUUUCCAGCGCUCUUGGGAGGUGGGCUGUGCCACUGCCUGGCCCACCUGGCCCACCUGGCCCACCAUUACCUGAAGGGAAGCAUGAACAGCCUUUGACGUGGGAGUGGCGACUGCUGAGAGGGAACUGUCUGUACACAAGCAAUGUAGCCUUAUGGGACCUGAGUGGAGCCCCAACCCACGCAGGGCGUGUCUUCAUGGCUUUUCCUGGCCAAUCUGAUACCAAGAUGCAGUGGCCAGAAGUACCUGCACUUCCACUCCUGUCAAGUCUCUGCAUGGCUAUGGUGAGGAAGAGCUCUGCACUGGGCAAGGAAGUUGGCCGUCGAGUGAAGGAAAUGGUGAUGCUGGUGGCCCCUUUCCGGCAGUCAAGUUCCCUAUCAAGGACAUUCAGUUCUCGGAAAGUGGUGAAGGCACAUGCUUCCC
ensembl:lncRNA IDI2-AS1 IDI2 antisense RNA 1